UUGGAUAGCAUUCAUAUUGAUGAACAUGAAGUUGCACAGUCGUGCCAAAACUAACUUUUAUUGUUUAUUGAAAUUCACCAUAUCUUCCAAGCAUGGCAUUUUGGCACCUCGCUUAAUCCCUUAGGAUGCGCAGCAGCAAUUACCCUUUUCACAGUAGCUGUUGUCGAAACUAUAGCCAGACCAUUCGCAUGAAACCUUACACAAGGUAACAUUGUAUCCUAUCGGGUUCUCGCAUAACCGGUCAGGUUUGCACACAUCAAUCAAUGCAGUUGUACCUACGCCGAAAGUAGUAUUGCAUUCCAUUUCGGAUUAGUAAUGUAGUAUAAAUUACAUGAGUUACUCAAGAAUGUCUAAAAAACUAUGGUCUGCGUAUAUUUAUACAAAAUUUGACUGGUCUAAACAAAUGAGUGUACCUUUGUUUCUCCCAGUUGCCUCGCAUGGAAACAAAGUGGUAGACAUCAGAAGAAUUAGCAAGCACAGGGCAUUUGUGUUGUUCUUGAUAAGCGCCAUCAGAAGUGUGGGUGCCUAUUUUUCUUUUCCUCCCUUGCAAGAUAUUCCUUGAGGUUGAUGUUGCUCGUUCUAUUUGAGUCCUUAUUGUGGUAUUAUAUAGAGGCACUAUCUAAUCUCGGAGCAUCUUCAUUUCAGAAAGAAAAUGAUGGAGGAUCCAAUGUUAGUGUUGUCAUCCUUUGUAUCUAUAUGCAUAGUCAAACUACUAUUAUAAGAGUUACUGGAAUAUACCCAAAUAUAUCCUGUCAACAACUUGUUAUUAAAUGCCUACUUGUUCUUUAUAUACCAAGACAUUAAUACUAUCAUAAAAGUUAUUGGAAUAUAUAUACCAAAAUAUAGGUUGUCGACAACUAGCUAUUAAAUGCCUCUUUGUUUUUGGUAUAUACCAAGACAUUAAUACUAGGACCCCAUUAGUUGGGGGACAUUAGCUGGGGGUUGCUUCGAGCGAAAUCGUUGGAGUUGGCUCGAUUGAAAGAACCAAUUCCCUGGCGACUUUUGCGAGUGUGGCCCCAGGCCCAAAAAAAGUGGCCAACCACAACCCAUUCACCACCAGUGUAAAAUCAGUUUUAGCCUAAAACAAAAACAGAAAAUUCACAAGUUUCUAUAUUAAUAAAAGAAGUGUUGACCCAAAAUAAUAAUGUUGGCCCAUUAACAAAUUUGACAUGCUUUAUAUUUUCAUUUUCAAAAACCAAUAGGAAUAACACUGGAAGUUGCCAUCAUCGAAAACAAAAAAUUGCCAUGCUCUCAAUAAUAAAAUGAAUUGGGAAAUUCAUAAAAAAGAAAAUUAGAAUAAAAGUGGAUUUGAAAGAAAUCAUAGAUUUGAAAAAAAUGUUUAGUUUUUUAAAGAAUUCAUCGAUUUUGAAAGAAACAUAAUUUUUUAAACUGCAUCACUGUAAUAAAUAAGUUCAUGAAUUUGGAAAAAAGCUCUAACAUUUGAAAAAAUUCAUGCAUUUUAAAAAGUUCAUAGAUUUGGAAAAAAAUCAUGAAUUUAAUAAAUUGAAGGGUUUUGGAAAAAAGCUUCAUAAAUUUGGAAAAACAUGAAUUUGAUUUUUUUGUGAAUUUCAAAAUAGUUUGCUCAUUUGAAAAAAAAGAUCUAAAUAGAAAAGAAAAACUGAAUGAAAACCGGUCCAAAGGGAUAAAAAGGGAAAACCUCCCGGAAGCAUCCAAACGCUUCCUAAAACAUGACCAGAAAGCUUCUCAGAGUUUCGCAAAACUAGGGAAGGGAGUGUCCCGCUCGCGCCUUAUACGCAUAGGCCCACUAAAUCGAACACAUACAGGGACUGUGCGCAUUGUAAUAGUAACACUAUAAACGGCGCUACAAGCGCAAAAUAGGAAUUGGGCACCGAAGUAGACGAUGACCCCAUUUAUUUCUGAUCGAAGCCCCCCUACUAACUAAUUAGCCCAGAACAUCUAAUGGGCCUGGCCCAUGGCAUGUGGUGGCAUAACCAGCGUUGUCGAGCGCCGUUGUAUCUCGCCUCAUUGUCGCUACAAGUGAGGCUGCCCAAGUACCUUCAUGCAGGUUAAUUUCUUUUUUCUUCUGUUUUUUAUUCUUUUCUCUUUUUAAUAUUUAUAAAAAUAUUCAAUAUAUAUAUAUAUAUAUAUAUAUAUAUAUAUAUAUAUAUUUCAAAACAUAAAUAUAUAUAUUUCAAAAACAACAAAACUGAUAAAAAAUACGUUGUUUAAAAAAUUUGUUGGUGUAAUUUUUAAAAACUAUUGAUAGCAUUUAAAAAAAUGUCUGUGGCAUUUAAGGUUGAUGCUCCUCGUUUUAUUUGACUCCUUAUUGUGGUAUUAUAUAGAGGCACUAUCAAAUCUCGGAGAGUCUCAAUUUCAGAAAGAAAAUAUUGGAGAACCCAAUGUAGUUUUUUCAUCCUUUAUAUCUAUAUGCAUGGUCAACUCAUGUCAAUUAAUACUAUCAUAACAGUUAUUGGAAUGUACUAGGCACAACAUGGAGGUUCGAGGCCACCAUCAAAGUCGGUGAAGUUUGCGCGCUGCCGUUGUGGUGGCUAUUGCGGUGGCGACAAAGACAACAACAGCGCCUUGACAGAAACUCAGGAAGGAGCCUCUAGGAGGAGCGGCUAGGGUUUCAUCGGGCAGGAACAAGAGGAUACGCGUGGGAUUUCUGCCGGCUACCAUUUUUCUUGCCUACCUUCAUCGUUAUUUAGGAAUCUAUCAUGGGAGGCACCAGCUGUUAAUUUUUUUUAGGAAUACCAACUUUUCUUUAGAACAUUGAGGCUGUUAAAUAUAAUUGGAGAGAAAAAAAUAAGCUUCAAUGGGCCAUAACGCAAGUGGAGGGCUAGGCAUGCUCGCUGGGCCAUAACACGAUCUGGGGCCCAGGCACGGGAGAACCAUCCACGCGAAGAAACGUCUUGAGGAUUGUGCGCAACGAGGUGGCACUGAUUAUAUUAAAAAGAAAACUCUAAAUUAUUAUUAUUAUUCUUUGAACAUAAGAAAACUUUAUUGAUGAUCAGGUGCAUUUUACAGAAAGAAGCAUGAAGGGACUCAUGCUAGAACCAGAAACUAUGUCCUUGCCAGGACAUUGACCUUGAUCUGCUUGUGUACAUAAGCAACUCUAAAUUAUUACCAACACCAAGUCUAGCUGGGCUCGCCGCGCCAUAAAGUACGAAAAGUGGUGGUUGAUGGUUCGGUUCUUGAUAGGACUAAUGAUUUUUCGGGCCAAGUCAAUACGUUUUUUAUAUAAACUAGAACAAUGCCUCUGUGUUGCAACGGGAUAUAAAUACUCUAGUACGUUACCUUGUGACGAAUGAGUGGUGGGAAAAAAGGUGAAAUGAAAACCUUACAUUCUUUUUAAGUAGUAAAGAUAAUAGACCCCACAAAAAAAACUUCUUACGUAUAUAGGAUAAGUACUUCCUCCAUCUCAAAAUUCUUGUCUUAGAUUUGUAUCGAUACAAAUGUAUCUAGUCAUGUUUUUGUGUUAGAUACAUCCGUGUCGAGCUCAGGUGAGGAGGUGAUCCGUCAUUCUUUUCUUAGAUGGUGCAUUGCAACGGGAUAUAAAUAUUCUAGUACGUUACCUUGUGACGAAUGGGUGGUGGGAAGAAAGGUGAAACGGUAACCUUACGUUCUUUUUAAGUAGUAGAGAUAAUAGACCCCGCAAGAUAAGUACUUUCUCCAUCCCAAAAUUCUUGUCUUAGAUUUGUAUCGAUACAAAUUUAUCUAGUCAUGUUUUAGUGUUAGAUACAUCCGCGUCGCGCUCGGGUCAGGAGGUGAUCCGUUAUUCUGUUCUUAGGCGGCUGCUAUGGCAGUGCCAGAGGCAGGUGACACGUGUUGGUGUCAAGCUCAGAGAUGUUCUGCUAUCUUUUCAGUUUUGUCAUGUCGGUUUUUAUGUGACUUGUAUUUUAUUCUUUAUGAUAUGAAUGAGACACAUAUUACCAUGCAAAAAAAAGAUACAUCCGUACCUAAACAAAUCUAAGACAAGAAUUUUAGAACGAAAGUAAUACGUAAUAGCAGAUUAAUUCCACAUGAACUUCUUUCGUCAUACACUUGGCAAGUUGGUGAGAUUGGACUGCCUCCCGUGUCGCUCCAGGGCGACACCAGGGGCGAAGAACCCUAGCGCUCGAAGCCGCCUCUGCUCUUCCCUCCUCGCUGCUGUCGCCAGCGACCGUGCGGCGGCGGCGGGACUUCCCCGUCGCUGGGAUCUUCCUCCCCGUACAUCCCCUCUCCUCCCCAACUCCGGUCCGCCAUCGCUGCCCCAUCCUCCAACGUAGCCAUCACGGAUCCAGCGGGCUGGUCAAUGGAUCCGGGCAUCCCUAGAAUGGAUCUCGCCUCUUCGGUGGUCGUUGCUACUGCUUAGUCCCUGAGCACUGGCUGGGGUGUCCUGCGCCGCCGCAUGUUGGUUCUUCACCCCAUGGUGUGGUGGGCAUGGCGAGAGAACUGGAUGCCUUCCAUCAGCCGGGGCUAGGACCUGGGAGGCACGCUCUUCUCACGAGUAAAUUGCAAAAAAUCACCACAUUUGGGGCUUCAUCUGUGAAAAACCACCAGGUCGUUAAUCAUUUACAAAAAUCACCGCGCAUUCAGGAAACCUUUUGCAAAAAGCACUGAACAGGUGAUUUAGCCCAUUUAAUCACUUUCUGACAUGUGGGGCUGGACUGUAAGGAGCUGACUUGGCAAAAUAAUCACACACAGACCCCUAGUAGAUUUUAAAAAAAGCAAUCAGCCCCCUGGACCAUGCCCGGCAGAGCCCGGCUCCCGUCGCCGCCACCAGAAGACGCCCGCCGACCGGGCGGUCGCGGAGACGAGGAGGAGUCUGUGUGGCAGCGGGUGGGCACACCGGCCAGCGGCCAUCUCCGCAACCACGAGGGCCAGCAGCGCACCGUCGUCAUCGGGGAGCCGUAGCUCCUGUGCAGCGUCCACGGCGUGGACUGCGCAGAGGCGGCCGCCGGGAGCUCGGCCUUCAAGCCACGGCGGCGCCCGCAGGGAUGCUGUGGCCGCGCCUCGGUCUUCUACCAGGGAAGCCCAGCGCCGCUCGACGCCGUGGAUGCGGGCCAACCUCCAUGCGCUUCGGUGCCUCCUCCCCUCCUCCUACAUCCCACUCUGCCCUUGCUCGCGCAGCCGCAGCGAAGCGUCCACGCCCGCAGGAGAGCCCCGCAGCCCCGUGCGCACGCGCCACCGAGCCUCGCGCCGCUCCGACCGGACUUCCCCGCAGCUCACCGCCGCCAGUUCACCGAGCACCACCGCAGCCCCCUCUCCCUCUCCUUCCUCCCCUGUCUCUCACGCAGCUCCCUCUCUCNNNNNNNNNNNNNNNNNNNNNNNNNNNNNNNNNNNNNNNNNNNNNNNNNNNNNNNNNNNNNNNNNNNNNNNNNNNNNNNNNNNNNNNNNNNNNNNNNNNNNNNNNNNNNNNNNNNNNNNNNNNNNNNNNNNNNNNNNNNNNNNNNNNNNNNNNNNNNNNNNNNNNNNNNNNNNNNNNNNNNNNNNNNNNNNNNNNNNNNNNNNNNNNNNNNNNNNNNNNNNNNNNNNNNNNNNNNNNNNNNNNNNNNNNNNNNNNNNNNNNNNNNNNNNNNNNNNNNNNNNNNNNNNNNNNNNNNNNNNNNNNNNNNNNNNNNNNNNNNNNNNNNNNNNNNNNNNNNNNNNNNNNNNNNNNNNNNNNNNNNNNNNNNNNNNNNCCAGGACGCUGGCAAAAGCCGGAUCCGCCGCCGGCCAUUAGCCGCAACCGCCGGGAACAAGCUCCCCUGUAAACGCCAGUUAUGAGCUCGUACAGGCGCGCAGCGCCACGACCAUUCCCGGCGAGGGUGGAGCGAGGAAGGAGAUGCCCUCCGUGGGGGAGGGGGAGGGGCUUGAUUGCUUUUUUUAGAUCCAGGAAGGUAUAUGUCAAUUUGUUACCAAAUCAACUCCUUAUAUUCCGGCCCCACUUGUCAGAAAGUGGUUAAACGGGCUAAUUCACUUGAUCAGUGCUUUUUGCAAAAGGUUUACUGAAUGUGCGGUGAUUUUUGCAAAUGAUUAGCGACCUGGUGGUUUUCCGCAGAUGAAGCCCCAAAUGUGGUGGUUUUUUGCAAUUCACUCCUCCCCUCACACCCAACACUAGUACUUGGUGGAUGGCCGUGCAUCUAAUGGCCAUGGCAUCGGUUGGUCGUUUCAGGAUCCAGGCACAUGUCCAUAGAUCCUGUAGGCCGACAGCACAGCCUCUCUCGCGGGCACACACGCUCGGGCGAGGGCUCGUCUGUCGGUGGGCUAGGUCGUGGUGGAGCUCCCGUCCAUGAUGGUGGCUUGCCCCGAUAUGGUUCUGCCAGAUCUUGGACCUGAGACUCUUCAUAUGACAAGUCAUCUUUCUACUGGAUGUUGAACUCUUGGAUUUGGUCGCUGACGAGUUCCGGUCUUCCCUGUCAGAAAUCUACAUGGAUUGGCAUAUCUUGCCCCUGGAUAUCUAGAUCGAAAAGGCUUCGGUCGCGCGCGCUCAUAUUUUCAGCCAACACGGCCUUAAGAGUGCGCGGCGCGAAGCUUCGCUUUCUUUUGAGUGUCAUGGGACAUGUCUAAGUCAAGAUUCUCAAGGCAUUGAUAGAGGUGGGGUAAGUCAUGACGGCUGCGAUUGGAGGUCUUGAAGCUUCGGUGGAAGGGUAUUUUGAAUGCGAUGAAGAUUGUGUGCCAGGUGUGUGGUGACUUGUUUCAGCGGCCUCGGCAAGCGGGGGCAGCAACACUGGAGGAUUGCAUUUUUUAUGGUGCUCCUCGAGUAUCGAGUAUUGAUUCUCAGGGUGAAAACCCAAGGUCUGGCCUUUAUUGUUUGUACCUGGCAAUGGCCUUGUUGAAGGCAUUGUUUUUGAAUGAACUCGAACUUUCUCCGGGGUGAAAACCCAAGGUUUCAAUCGGAGGGUGCAGGAGGCAUUGUUUUCUUCUUGGACGCGUUGUUUUUGAAGAACCUUUUUUGUAUUCCGGGUGUUGUCUUUGGUGAUGGUUAGAGUGCUGCUGCUAGUGAUUGUUCACCGUGGCGGGGUCUUUUUUUUCUUUCUUCUGUUUUUAUUUUUAUUUUUUUGGUUGUGUGUAUCCUUGAUUUUUUGGACAUCUUAUCGAUAGAGAGGACGGAUGUAAUUGAUAUCUUUACGAUAUUAAUAUAUUCCUUUUAUGAAAAAAAAUACACCUGACAGGUACGCAUGUGUUCGCGACCGAUCACAUGUGGUCCAGCGGCCAGCCACGGCCGAGCGAGCCGCGGGCCGCCCUCGUCACUGACGGCGAGGCUACUAGCGAAUAAAGUAAUUAAGCAUUAAGCAUUAUGGCCUUGGUCUUGGAAGAGAGUUAGCUCAUCGCCAGCAAGGAGGUGCAGGAGGAUCUUCCAGGCCUCCUGCACCCGCAUGAUCAAUGAGCAUUAUUAAGUUAUUAUUUUGAUAUGAAACGCUUUUGCUAAUUCAACAUAUUUUGAUAUGAAAACUGUUCUGCUAAUUCAUGUUAUUUUGAAAUUAAAAACAGUUUUGCUAAUUCAAAGUUGUCGGUGUGGCCGCGCUUGGCAAAGGGGACUUGGAUCUUGAGAGCGAGAAAACCGAUUUUGGUAAGGAGAGAGUGACACGAAUUAGUCAUCCCUUGUUUCCUUGGUGACUUUGAAACACGGUUUUUGAUAUCAAAAUAACUUGGAUAGCAUCUAUAUUGAUGAAAUCAUGAAGUUGCACAGUCAUGUCAAAACUAACUUUUAUUGUUUAUUGAACUUCACCAUAUCUUCCAAGCAUGGCGUUUUGGCACAUCCUUUAAUUCCCUAGGAUGCGCAGCAGCAUUUGCCCUUCUCACAAUAGCUGUUGUAGAAACUGUAGCCAGACCAUUCGCAUGAAACCUUACACAAGGUAACAUUGUAUCCUAUCGGGUUCUCGCAUAACCGUUCAGGUUUGCACACAUCAAUCAAUGCAGUUGUACCU
rnacentral:lncRNA from 1 species